AAUGCAAAUGACCAGUAACAUCAAUCUAUUAAUGGAUCUGUGAUUCCCUAAUUACAUAUUGUUUUUAUUUAUUUUUCUCGAAAAGUCCCUAAUCACAUAUUCAUUAAAAUAGUACUCAAAAUAUGCAGAAACAAUUUUAGAUUAAGGAUAACCAUAAGAAUAAGACAAAUAAAAUGAGCACUUCAAAACCCAUUUAUUCAUUAUUAUGGUGACAUAAUCUCUUUUAAUUUUCCCUUUCGAGCCAGGGUGAGAUGAUGUCAACAAUUGUAAAGACAUUGGCAUUGAGUUUGGGGAUAAAUCACAGUGUUACAGUUGUCAAUGCUUGUGGGCGGUUUAAUAUGGAGAAAGGUAAUGAGAGCCAUCUGGGUAUACAUUUCUUGCAAAGAAUCAAGAUAGAUGGAUUCAUCGAUGUUAAGGAUAAUACAGGGUGAGAUGAUGUCAACAAUUGUAAAGACAUUGGCAUUGAGUUUGGGGAUAAAUCACAGUGUUACAGGUACCCUCGCCGUCCUUGUGCUUCUUUUUACAUUCUUUCACGCAUUGAGGUAAACUGAAUUGGAGAUUGCAGUCCCCCAGUUACUCGGUGCAGGUUCCUGCCUCUACUUGGGGUACCAUCUUCUCAACUAAACACAUUUACAAUAAGCAUUAGAAAUAAUAAGGUAAACCCUAAAUCUAAUAUCACUUGUUAGGAUUUAGGUAGAAUUCCUCCUUUCUACUUAACAAUUGAAUUCAAAAAAGAAAAAGGAAGGCCUCAAUGGAAUAUCCUUUUUUAUUUUUUUAUUUUUUUGCUAACGAUGGGUAUCUAGAUCUUCGGCCUGACUUGUCCCGUGUGCUCAUACUGACCCCACAACCGCAUGGACCAGGUCAUACCGGGAUUGAAUGAAAACCAUUUAACUUUAACUGAAAGUAGUGAAGAGCACUAAACACCCCCAUGUGAGUGGCCCAAGAUGUGCCUAGUGGGAGUCGAACUUAGGACGUCCGAGUUUACGGCUCGUACCAAGUUCGUUGCUCACCAACUACGCUACUCCCAUGGGUUACUUUAAUAGAAUAUCCAACAAUAAAGUUGAAAGAAAUAAACCUGAGACGAGCAUGAGUAAGGCAAGAAUGAAAAAGGUCACAGAGAGCUUUGCCAUUCUAGAAAUCUCUUAUGUCUUCGAAAUUCUGACUAAAUUGACAAUGAAG